GGCCGCCUGGCGAAAUGGCAUCGCGUCUGACUACGAUGUGAAAGUAAUCAGGAGAUUGCAGGUUCGACCCCUGCGGUGGUCA